CCUACGGGAGGCUGCAGUGAGGAAUAUUGGUCAAUGGUCGGAAGACUGAACCAGCCAAGCCGCGUGAGGGAGGAAGGUCCAGCGUAUCGUAAACCUCUUUUGUCAGGGAACAAAGGCGGGGACGUGUCCCCGGCUGAGUGUACCCCAAGAAAAAGCAUUGGGUAACUCCGUGCCAGCCGCCGCGGUAAUACGGAGGAUUCGAGCGUUAUCCGGAUUUAUUGGGGUUAAAGGGUGCGCAGGCGGGCUGUUAAGUCAGCGGUAAAAACUCGGGGCUCAACCCCGGCCCGCCGUUGAAACUGGGAGUCUCGAGUGGGCGAGAAGUAGGCGGAAUGCGCGGUGUAGCGGUGAAAUGCAUAGAUAUCGCGCAGAACCCCGAUUGCGAAGGCAGCAUGCCGGCGCCCAACUGACGCUGAGGCACGAAAGCGUGGGGAUCGAACAGGAUUAGAUACCCCGGUAGUC
rnacentral:rRNA from 1 species